rnacentral:rRNA from 1 species
GACGAACGCUGGCGGCAUGCCUAAUACAUGCAAGUCGAGCGAACAGAUGAAGUGCUUGCACUUCUGACGUUAGCGGCGAACGGGUGAGUAACACGUAAGGAAUCUACCUAUAAGCGGGGGAUAACAUUCGGAAACGGGUGCUAAUACCGCAUAAUAUCUUCUUCCGCAUGGAAGAAGAUUGAAAGACGGCUCUGCUGUCACUUAUAGAUGACCUUGCGGUGCAUUAGUUAGUUGGUGGGGUAAUGGCCUACCAAGACGAUGAUGCAUAGCCGACCUGAGAGGGUGAUCGGCCACAUUGGGACUGAGACACGGCCCAAACUCCUACGGGAGGCAGCAGUAGGGAAUCUUCCGCAAUGGGCGAAAGCCUGACGGAGCAAUGCCGCGUGAGUGAAGAAGGCCUUCGGGUCGUAAAACUCUGUUAUAAGAGAAGAACAAAUUGUAGAGUAACUGCUACAGUCUUGACGGUAUCUUAUCAGAAAGCCACGGCUAACUACGUGCCAGCAGCAGCCGCAG